GCUGCGGUCUUGUCGUGGUUGGUGGGAGAGGCAUCCUUCUUCUCCUCCUCCUCCUCCUUCUUCGUCUUCUUCUUCUAAAUAGCAACCUUCCUUUGAGUUUCGGACUGAAGAGAUUAGCCGUGAGGAGGAUCUCGGAGUCACAGCACUUUGGGUUCGACAGCGGUGAGGAGGUUGGAGUUUCAUCAAUUGUUUCUUCAUCAAGCUUCAGAUCUUGUAGCGGGCCCUAGUUCGCAGGACUUGGUGAACCCCACUCUGUAGCUCGGAGCCAGGAUUGACUCUGAUCAGGUUAAAUCUGAGGUCUUGCACCCAUUGGGGCCCAGUCUCACUGGAUGUGGCCGAUCUGUCAGUGGGCCCGGCUGUGGGGCUGGGGCGUGACAUAAUGGAUGGCCAAGAUUUGAUCAUCAAGGAGGUGCGCGUUAGUUCGAGGCAUGAAGAUUAGUCGGUUCCUUUAAGUAGGGUGCACCACGUUGCAUAUGACUCAGCGCACCGGUUUUGUUUUAGUUACUUAAGUUUCUAUAAAUGAUAAGAACUUAGGCUGUAUUUGAUUGGCAACAUGAAAAAUG